rfam:Erwinia sp. EM595 isolate E_g_EM595 genome assembly, chromosome: 1
AGUUGCUCAUUCACCUGAUUAUGAAUGCCCUGCGCAAGCGGUCAAGAUGCUCAUAAAAUUCGAAUGACGCACAAAAACGGUGCCUGUCGUCCACUGAACCGAUUAUUGUCUGCGCGUUUGCAGCAUUAUCACAUUCCGGGCGUAACGUUGAGUUAGGCACCACCUU